rnacentral:tRNA from 1 species
UUUAUCUUUCUUUGACUUUCUUUCAGAUUAUUUAUUAUUUUUUUAUUAUAACUGGAAUAAAAAGAAACUAUUU